rnacentral:rRNA from 1 species
GAAUACCCAGGCGCUUGAGAGAACUCGGGUGAAGGAACUAGGCAAAAUGGUGCCGUAACUUCGGGAGAAGGCACGCUGGCGUUGGUGAAGGGACUGGCUCCCGGAGCUGAUACCAGUCGCAGAUACCAGCUGGCUGCAACUGUUUAAUAAAAACACAGCACUGUGCAAACACGAAAGUGGACGUAUACGGUGUGACGCCUGCCCGGUGCCGGAAGGUUAAUUGAUGGGGUCAGCCGCAAGGCGAAGCUCUUGAUCGAAGCCCCGGUAAACGGCGGCCGUAACUAUAACGGUCCUAAGGUAGCGAAAUUCCUUGUCGGGUAAGUUCCGACCUGCACGAAUGGCGUAAUGAUGGCCAGGCUGUCUCCACCCGAGACUCAGUGAAAUUGAACUCGCUGUGAAGAUGCAGUGUACCCGCGGCAAGACGGAAAGACCCCGUGAACCUUUACUAUAGCUUGACACUGAACCUUGAGCCUUGAUGUGUAGGAUAGGUGGGAGGCUUUGAAGUGUGGACGCCAGUCUGCAUGGAGCCGACCUUGAAAUACCACCCUUUAAUGUUUGAUGUUCUAACGUGGGCCCCUGAACGGGGUUGCGGACAGUGUCUGGUGGGUAGUUUGACUGGGGCGGUCUCCUCCCAAAGAGUAACGGAGGAGCACGAAGGUUAGCUAAUCCUGGUCGGACAUCAGGAGGUUAGUGCAAAGGCAUAAGCUAGCUUGACUGCGAGAGUGACGGCUCGAGCAGGUGCGAAAGCAGGUCUUAGUGAUCCGGUGGUUCUGAAUGGAAGGGCCAUCGCUCAACGGAUAAAAGGUACUCCGGGGAUAACAGGCUGAUACCGCCCAAGAGUUCAUAUCGACGGCGGUGUUUGGCACCUCGAUGUCGGCUCAUCACAUCCUGGGGCUGAAGUAGGUCCCAAGGGUACGGCUGUUCGCCGUUUAAAGUGGUACGCGAGCUGGGUUUAGAACGUCGUGAGACAGUUCGGUCCCUAUCUGCCGUGGGCGUUGGAAGAUUGAGGGGGGUUGCUCCUAGUACGAGAGGACCGGAGUGAACGCACCACUGGUGUUCGGGUUGUGAUGCCAAUUGCAUUGCCCGGUAGCUAAGUGCGGAAGAGAUAACCGCUGAAAGCAUCUAAGCGGGAAACUUGCCCCGAGAUGAGUCUUCCCUGGGACUUCGAGUCCCCUGAAGGGCCGUUGAAGACGACGACGUAGAUAGGCUGGGUGUGUAAGCGUAGCGAUACGUUGAGCUAACCAGUACUAAUGACCCGAGAGGCUUAACCUUACAACACCGAAGGUGUUUUAG